rnacentral:rRNA from 1 species
UACGUAGGGGGCAAGCGUUGUCCGGAAUCAUUGGGCGUAAAGAGCUCGUAGGCGGCUCACUAAGUCGGAUGUGAAAACUCCAGGCUCAACCUGGAGACGCCAUUCGAUACUGGUGUGGCUUGAGUUCGGUAGGGGAGCACGGAAUUCCUGGUGUAGCGGUGAAAUGCGCAGAUAUCAGGAGGAACACCGGUGGCGAAGGCGGUGCUCUGGGCCGAAACUGACGCUGAGGAGCGAAAGCGUGGGUAGCAAACAGG